UCGGGCUCAUGGCGAUCUACGUCUUCGCGGUGCUCCUCGGCGUCCUGCCGCCGGGGAACAUGGGCACCAUCGGCGCGGAUUUUUCCCUGGCCGACCGUCUCCGCCACUUGCUGCUCCCGGCAGCGACGCUCGGCGUGGUCAUGGUCGCGACGUGGAGCCGCUAUACGCGUACGUCCAUGCUCGAGGUCAUCCAGGAGGACUAUAUCCGGACGGCGCGGGCGAAGGGGGUGGCAGCGGGUGCUGUCAUUCUCAAGCACGCGCUCAAGAACGCGCUCAUUCCGCUGAUCACGCUGGCGGGCCUCCAGCUGCCCCUCGUCUUCAGCGGCGUCCUCGUCACGGAGACGGUGUUCACCUGGCCGGGGAUGGGACGGCUCUUCGUGGAUU
rnacentral:misc_RNA from 1 species